UGGGCCCAGGGAAAAAAGGCUUGGCCUCAUAGAAGCGGCAAAGGGCUCCUGGGGCAUCUGCAGCCUCCCUGGCCAACAAAAAAGUGGGGGCAGGGAGAGAUGGAGCCGCAAGUUGAGAAGUGUCACAAAGCUGGGAAUGAGGAAAGAGAUCAGGUGCUGGCAGACGCCAGACCCAGAAGAUGCUGUGUAGUCGAGGCUCCAGGUCCCAUGCCAAGGGGCUGGAUUCUCCCUGGUAGUAAAUCAUCUCUCACUCUCUCCUCCAAAUGACUUAAUUUGGACCUCUGACCGACGUGCAAACUGGUCGGAGGGCUGCAGCACCCGGGCUGCCCAAGUGGGCCGCAAUUUUACGGUCCUUUAUGGACUCCUGGCUUCCGCGCCUCCAUGCCUCUUACACCCUGCCAGCCACAAACUGCCCGGAUCGGCGUUUGAUCUUGCCCUCGCCUGGGGAAAGUGUCUUCCCCGAGCAAUUGAAGCAUUCCCCGAGCAGUUGAAACACUGGGUGCUUGGGGUGAGCUUCGAAUCCCCCAAGUCCAGGACUUGCAUCCGCCCCCUCAGCACCCCGCACUCAAGGCACUGCUGUCACCCUCAGUCCCGCCAAUGCCAGAACACAGUAGGAGACCCCCGCCAGAACGCAGAUAGCAGAGAGAGUUGCUCACAGCGGCCGGACGGAUCUUGGUUGCAAGAGGGAGAAAGAAAGGCCGGGUGCCUGGGAGGGCGCGGAGCUGCUGGAGCGCGGUCUGGACCGCGACCGCGGCGGUGGCGGUGGGAGCUAGGGUCACCUUGUGAAGCGAGCGCUCCUCUGUGCCGCACCGCCUCUGGGAGGAAGCCCCAUUGCCCUCUUCUUUCUAAGCUGUCAUCCUCCUGCUGCAAUCGUCAUUACAGUACCGCUGGUGACGCCACUCGGCGAGCGCAAGUGGAUAAAUAGAAACGUCUGCCACAGCGAAGAUGAAAGGAAACCCGCAGCUAAUGGCUCGGCAGUGAUGCGCCAGGUGUGGGCCUCGCUCGAUUGGGGAGGAGAGUGUGAAAACAGACAGAGAGACACACACACUGAGAGAGGGAGACACCCAGGCAGAGGGGAUGCAAAUGGAAUUCCGCAGAAAGAAAAGAGAGCUUAACGCGCGCGGCGAGUUCCGCAGGGGCAGCGGGACUCGAUGGCCUUAAGUUUUCCACAGCCUGGCUUCAUCUUGAGAUGGCUAUUCGUACAAGAAGUCGCUUUCCCGUUUGCCUGGACCUCGCCUGCACUCCAGUCCCUGCCUAGGGGCAGUGGUACCUGUCUCCAAAAGUGGAUGGCGUUUGAGGUAGAAGAGAGUGAAGUCGCUGAAAAUGCCCUAAAACAGCAGGGAAGAAGCUGGUAUAAAACUGGAGAGGAGCAGCAAAAAGCUGGUGUGUGGUGGAAUGAGGCCUGGAU
rnacentral:lncRNA from 1 species